GACGAACGCUGGCGGCGUGCUUAACACAUGCAAGUCGAACGGAAAGGCCCUGCUUUUGUGGGGUGCUCGAGUGGCGAACGGGUGAGUAACACGUGAGUAACCUGCCCUUGACUUUGGGAUAACUUCAGGAAACUGGGGCUAAUACCGGAUAGGAGCUCCUGCUGCAUGGUGGGGGUUGGAAAGUUUCGGCGGUUGGGGAUGGACUCGCAGCUUAUCAGCUUGUUGGUGGGGUAGUGGCUUACCAAGGCUUUGACGGGUAGCCGGCCUGAGAGGGUGACCGGCCACAUUGGGACUGAGAACCGGCCCAGACUCCUACGGGAGGCAGCAGUGGGGAAUAUUGCACAAUGGGCGGAAGCCUGAUGCAGCAACGCCGCGUGCGGGAUGACGGCCUUCGGGUUGUAAACCGCUUUCGCCUGUGACGAAGCGUGAGUGACGGUAAUGGGUAAAGAAGCACCGGCUAACUACGUG
rnacentral:rRNA from 1 species